rnacentral:tRNA from 1 species
UUUAACGUGGCACAACCCGGCCCUGCAAAAGACCUAAACUCUUUGGAUAGAGGUUCAAAUCCUCUCGUUA